rnacentral:lncRNA from 1 species
AGAAAUUCACAAAUAGGUAGAUUGGCUCUAUAUAUGUAUCGGUCAACUAGCAUGGCCUAUUCUCAAUCAAUCGAUUUAAUAAAAUUGGGUAAUCUUUGAAAUUUCAUGGUGAUGACGAUAGAUCAUUGCAGUUGUUGGUCUUUAACGAGGAAUUCCUAGUAAGCGUGAGCCAUCAACUCGCGUUGAUGACGUCCUUGCUCUUU